rnacentral:lncRNA from 1 species
AAGCUCAGAACUUGGAAGAAAAGAGGGAGAAGAACUUUUGGCCUUUACAAUAAUUUUGAGCUCUAAAAAUCACAGAACAAGAUCAGGAUUUUGGUGUAUGUUGAGUGCCCUUUCAGUGCUGAAUGGGUGGGGUAUUUAUAGGCCCCAACCUAGUUUGAAUUUGGAGCUCAAAACUGUCAAUUCCCGGAAUUCUGGGAUCUGGCGGUUGCACCUCCUGAC